rnacentral:piRNA from 1 species
UGACUAAGAAAUACGGUGGAGGGCUG